rnacentral:rRNA from 1 species
GAGCAAGACCGCGUGAGGGAGGAAGGCUCUUGGGUUGUAAACCUCUUUUCUCAGGGAAUAAGUUCUGAAGGUACCUGAGGAAUAAGCAUCGGCUAACUCCGUGCCAGCAGCCGCGGUAAUACGGAGGAUGCGAGCGUUAUCCGGAAUCAUUGGGCGUAAAGCGUCCGCAGGUGGAGUGGUAAGUCUGUUGUCAAAGAACGGGGCUUAACCCCGUAAAGGCGAUGGAAACUGCCACACUAGAGGCUGGUAGGGGUAAAGGGAAUUCCCAGUGUAGCGGUGAAAUGCGUAGAGAUUGGGAAGAACACCAGUGGCGAAAGCGCUCUACUGGACCAGAACUGACACUCAGGGACGAAAGCUAGGGGAGCGAAAGGGAUUAGAUACCCCUGUAGUCCUAGCCGUAAACGAUGGAUACUAGGCGUAGCCCGUAUCGACCCGAGCUGUGCCGAAGCUAACGCGUUAAGUAUCCCGCCUGGGGAGUACGCACGCAAGUGUGAAACUCAAAGGAAUUGACGGGGGCCCGCACAAGCGGUGGAGUAUGUGGUUUAAUUCGAUGCAACGCGAAGAACCUUACCAGGGCUUGACAUCUGGCGAAUCUCGAUGAAAGUUGGGAGUGCCUUAGGGAACGCCAAGACAGGUGGUGCAUGGCUGUCGUCAGCUCGUGUCGUGAGAUGUUGGGUUAAGUCCCGCAACGAGCGCAACCCUCGUCCUUAGUUGCCAGCAUUAAGUUGGGAACUCUAGGGAGACUGCCGGUGACAAACCGGAGGAAGGUGGGGAUGACGUCAAGUCAGCAUGCCCCUUACGCCCUGGGCUACACACGUACUACAAUGGUCGGGACAACGGGCAGCAAGCAGGCAACUGUAAGCGAAUCUCAUCAAACCCGGCCUCAGUUCAGAUUGCAGGCUGCAACUCGCCUGCAUGAAGGGGGAAUCGCUAGUAAUCGCAGGUCAGAAUACUGCGGUGAAUCCGUUCCCGGGCCUUGUACACGCCGCCCGUCACACCAUGGGAGCUGGCCACGCCCGAAGUCGUUACUCCAACCUGCAAAGGAGGAGGAUGCCGAAGGCAGGGCUAGUGACUGGGGUGAAGUCGUAACAAGGUAGCCGUACCGGAAGGUG